GGUAAAGCGAUGAGAGGAACUAGUAGCAAGAAUGUUCUUCUACAGAGAGUCGGUGGGUGGUGCAAACCGAUGAAGGACGCUUGUGAAUCCAUCCUUGAGUGAAAUGCCGAAUGUUUAACAACUAGUAAGCAUUUCCGGUAAACACCGUUAUCGAUGAGAGCGGAAGACGAUUUGUCUUCAAGUAGGGUGGCAACGCGGGUUACUCCCGUCCCUUAA
rnacentral:ncRNA from 1 species